GCUCGAUCUGUUGUAAAUCCUGCCCACUUCUUUGCAUCAUCAGCACAUGCUUCAGUGCUCUGAGAGAGUUUAUAGUGCUGUGAGUUUAACACUUCAUGACUGAGAGCAGAACAGAACACAAUCUUCAUCAUCACACAAGACACAACAACAACAAUGAACAAUAUCAUCCUCAUCUGGACCAUUGCAGCUUUUAUUCAAGAAUCCAGAGGAUUUACUGUGACUCAGCCUGGAGUUAAAACUGUCCAGCUGGGUCAGAGAGUUACAAUAGAGUGUAGUAUAGAUGUAGGACUAACACAUGAUGACUUACACUGGUAUCAGCAGAAACCUAAAGAAACUCCUAAACUUCUGAUUCAUGAUAUAAGUAGCCUUUAUUCAGGAACUCCGUCUAGAUUCAGUGGCAGUGGAUCUACUUAUGGAAAAGAUUUCACUCUGACCAUCAGUGGAGUCCAGACUGAAGAUACAGGAGAUUAUUACUGUCAGAGUUUACACUAUCCAAACAGUAACUAUGUGUUCAACACAGUGAUAAAGAGUCGUACAAAAACCUCCAUCAGUCAGAGUCACAGUGACUGCACUGAUACAGCUGAGAGAUACUGCAGCUGCUGAUGAACACAAUCACACACAACACUGAUCAACACAAACACUAAUAACACAAUAGCAUUACCAAUCAGAAUCUUGUAUUUCUGGAGAGAAUGAAUCUGUGUUCUAACUAGUGUACAUUCAUGCAUCGCUAUGUCAUAUGAUAAAAAUAAUGCUUGUUUUGCUAAAACUUAUCUCUUUCAGUAAGAAAUUGUUGCAUAAGGGUUGGGGUGUGCAAUGCAAUUCAUUCUGAGGCAAUCAUCAUUUUUAAGGAGUAAUAUUAAAAUGUUUCCUUCUUCUCCAAAGUCGAGAUCUUCCAGCAGAUGCCAUUUUUUUGUGCAGAAAAUGCUUACCUUACCUUCUACCUUUCGAGUAGAGUUGUGGAGUUAGUGAUGCUGUGGGGUGUUAGUGCACAUCUGUUUUAUAAUAUUAUUGCCAAACUUAAUUACAUAUAAGAUCAGGGAGAUAUGGUUGUAUCUAACAAUAAUAAAUCGUAAUAACAAUACAAAAACAAAUAUCAUGGGUUUGCUUUUAUCAUGAGAUUGUAUACACAGAUAAAAAAAAACAAUGAC